GUGGCAUUAGCUCAGGUGGUUAGAGCGCUAGAUUGUGGAUCUAGAGGUCGGGGGUUCAAGUCCCCUAUGCCACCCCA
rnacentral:tRNA from 1 species